GUAGGAAGGUCGGAUCAUGGCGAAACUUGGUUUGCUGGAUUCUAGACUUCAUGAGGAAUCCACGAAGCCCUAAAUUGCAUAAUUUUGUUGAGGUUAGCUUAGUCGAACUCAAGUUUUACUCUACUGCUAUUGUAUUUGGAUAGAAUUGUGGGUUUUUGAAUUGUUCUUGAUGCUAUCUUUGGAAGCAGUGGGGUUUUGAACCUGAGGCACAUCCUUCAUCAUCAUCCACUGGAUUUGGGACUGUCCUCACCUGAAUUGGAGACCUUUAGGUGAGUUUUGACAUUGGAGUUAAGAUAAUUAAGCUUAAGUGCUGAAAUUUUGGUGAAUUGAUGGAUUUUGAUGGAUUUUGGGUGUAGAUCUUUUGAGUAGCUUGGUUGCUGGUUGUGAGUGAUUCCAGCUGAGACUUCCUGCAAUUGUGGCCUUCUUGCUGCUAGGGAAUUGCUCUCGAGGUGGGUUUGCAUCGGAUUACUCCUGAGUAAAUGAGUAGAUGUAUAGUCGACAUGUAUGCUUGUUGUUCGGUCUACAAUGUGAUUAGAUUAAAUUCAGUAAUAAGCUAUGGCUGUAACCUGAAUUUAAGCAUGCUUAAUAAGUGACAUUUAUACAUGUUGGACUUGG
rnacentral:lncRNA from 1 species